CCCAUCCGAGCUUCGAUCUCCCUCUCUCUCUCUCCACCAUGAAUGGUCACCACCAAGUCACUGGCCGAUCUCCUCCCCCGUAGCCUCUCUUCCAAUUCCCUUGCACCACUAGCUUCUCCUCACUCCGGCGAAUCCAUUUUACCCGUUUUCCCCUGCCUUUUCCUCUUGAAUCCAGCCACACCGAAGCUCUCUUUCUCCUGACCGGACCACGCAUUAUCUUCGCCGUUCCGGCCAUCUUACCCUUCAUCUCUACCAGCCACCACCCCUCCUAGGAAGCAGGAAGGAAGAAGAAAACGAGAAAGGAGAAGACACUGACAGCGGGGCCCACUGCACAACCAUACAAGAAGUUCUAUCGGCAUCCAAGGAGCUGACGUGGACCCAGAUGGCUACGCUGAAGCCACGGGAAAUAUUAAGGCACAAGGCAAGACAUAAUUAAAAUUUUGAUCAUAUAGAAAACUUUAUAUGAUCUUCAUAUUUAAUUUGAUGCAUAAUACCUUACUCUUUUAACAUCUCAUGGGUAGAUGUUAAAUGCUUUUAAGCAUGAUUGCAUGAGAACAUAGAAAGAAGCAUUGGUUAUCAUUUUAUGUAAUUUACUAUUCCAAAUAACUUUACAAACUUAGGAAUCCGGUUAAAAUGGGCAUUUAUGAGUUGAGAUUAUGAAUGUUGUGAUUAUGAAUGUUGAUGAAGUUUGUGAUGCUGGUGUGGGGAGUUUGGAAAGUUUUUGGGUGGUUUAACCGGAUUAUAAUUACCCCC